UUUGAUAGCUUCCAAGAAGUUGAUCAAUGGAUGUUAAUCUUAUCAAGAAACAAUGUCAGGGUGCUCGACUUUAGGAAUUUACAUCCGUUUUAUCAAAUUCCAUCCUCCGUAUUCUCUUCUCAAGAAUUGAGAGCGUUGUUAUUAUCUAAGUGUAUUCUCAAGCCACCACUUGAGUUUCCGGGAUUUCCCAACCUUAGAUAUAUUUUUCUCCUGAAAGUUAAUUUUGGGAGUAAUGUAGGUCAAACUGUGAUCAAUUUACCACAUCUGAAGAAGUUGAAACUGCAUUCAUGUGUCAACGUCAACAAUUUUAACAUCAGGGCGGUAAAAUUGCGGACUUUGAAGGUGUCAAUUGCCUUGAUGCCAUGUUGCUCCGGUUAGUGCAUUGUAAACGCCUUUCUGCGGUUUAUAUAAGUUUGUCGCGACCCAUGAAAGAUUUUCUACAAGUUAAAAGAUUUAGUUUGGCGAGGAUGUUAAGAAAGUUGCCCAAGCUUGUGACCCUUACCCUUGAUGGUUAUUUUCUUAAGUUUUUGGCAGCAGAAAAGUUUCCAAGCUCGUCCACAUGCCAUAAAAUGCUUACAGGAAUUGACAUUCCAACGUUUUAGUUUGGGUGAUUUGGAUCAACUUCAAGGUGUUUUAUGUAUGCUUCGGAACUCACCUAGUUUGAAAGUACUUCGUGUGACACAUAUGCAAAUGGGACCUGAGGCUGAUUUGGAAUUAACAUCUAAGUAUAUAUAAUCCCUUGACUGUCUGGAUCAGACAUUGUUCAUGUUGAAAACCGUAGAAAUUACAUCUCUAGAAGGAUCAAGACCGGAGCUGCUCUUUGUAAAGCUUCUGCUCAAUCAUUCUCCACAUCUCGAAAGUAUGAUUAUCCGACCAGGUGCAAAGGUUGAUGUUGAGAAAAGGCUCAACAUUGCAAAGGAUGUUAUGUUGUUCCCACGAGCCUCAUCAAAAGCAAAGAUGGUCUACUUGGAUCCGGAGCUAUAAUUCUAUAAGAACGUUUAACUGCACUAAAAUCUGGUGGUUAUCUCGUAGUUUAUAUCUUGUUUUUUUUUAUUUUACCUUUUUGGUACGCAGUUGACAGGACAAUGCAUGUAAAGAAUCUCUAUAUUUCUAGUUAAGAGGAUGAUAUUAGUGGACUUGGACUUGGGCUUUUGCUGGAUCACACAGCGGUACAAAGUGGUAACAGGUUCUGUUACGUAGUUUUUGGUUUGGUCUCAAGUCCAACUCAAGCCAAUUUUUUCCUUGUUUCAUUUUAUUCUGAGUUGUCAGAGCACAUACUCUGUAAAUAGCUUUCCAAACAUUUGUUUGAAACUCUAUAAAAUGAGCCAUUUUGACCUAAA